rnacentral:lncRNA from 1 species
AUGAAGGAUGAGGGUCCCGGCUUGGAUCCUGGGGUCUCCUCCUCCUCCUCGGCACAUGCAGGGUGGGACCCCCAAAUCUGGGACCCCCAGGAACACCCCCGAGUUUGGGGUCUGACAAAGGGGGGGAGCUCAGAGGACCCCAAAUCCCAGCCCCCCUCAGACCUGGGGACCCCACCAGCCCCAUGGGGACCCCACCCCUCCGUGCUGGGGGACGCCUUGCUGCAGCCCCCCCACCCAUCUGGGGUCCCCCCACUCCCCAACCCUUCCGAUCUGGGGGACCCCCGGCCAUGGGGACCCCCAGUCACAGCCCCCCCACCCGUGGGGUCACCCCAGCCCCCAGAACUGGGGGAUCCCCCCCAGUGGGGACCCCCAGCCCAAGCCCCACCCCUCAAUGUUGGGGGGACCCCUCGCUGCAGCCCCCCCACCCAUGGGGUCCCCCCAGCCCCCACCCCUUGGAAUUGGGGACCGCCACCCCAAACCUUCAGUGCUGGGGACCCCCAAUUGCAGCCCCUCACCCUUGAGGACCCCCCCCUAUCCCUUGGGACUGGGGCACCCCUCACUGCAGCCCCCCCACCCAUGGGGACCCCCACCCACAAUGACCCCCAGAACCCCCCCCCCCCCCCACCUCAGUACUGGGGACCCCCCAGAACUGCGGCCCCCCAACCUCAGCCCCUCACCUAUACAAGACCCCAACCCCAGAACCGCAGGACCCCUCACUGCAUCCCCCCCACCCAUGGAGACCCCACCCCUCAAUUCUGGGGUCCCCUCCCUCAGCUCUGGGGUCCCCCCACCCCAUUUUCCCCCCGGCGGGGGUCCCGCAUCCCCCGGCCCAGGAUGCAUAAAACGCCCCCGCGGUGGCUGCGGGGGCCAAACCAAAGCUGUCCCCGGCGAGGGGACACCACGAGCACCUCAGCAGCGCCCGCUGCCCCCCCCUGCGCCCCCCCUUCCCUGCUUUUUUGGGGAUUUUGGGGCAUUUUCCCCCUUUUUCCCCACCUCUUCUCCCCCUCCUCCCCAGCGCCUGGCAGCUCGGGGGGGAGGGGGGCUCGGGGCAGGGGGGUCCCCCUGUUCCCAGCUGCCCUUUUGGGGGUGCCCACGGCCCCCACCCCUCCCCCAGCGCCCAGACCAACCCAAAAACAGGGGGCUUUUAACCCAAAACAGGGUUUCUAA